GGUCUGCAUCCUAAUCAUGGACUCUUCAUUUACAGGUGGGAGCACCAGCAGAACCCUCUCAGCUCUUGUGGUGACCUCCACAAAGCCCCUAUUGCUCAGGAAAGCCAUGGCAGGAGAGCCUAGCCUCCCCAGGAGCAGAAAGAAGCCACUGCAGGGGGCCAGUAUCAAAGUUGAAGAACAAAGAUGGAAGGUGAAGAGACACUUCUGUUUACAGCAGCAUUCUCUGGACUAACAUACCAGAGAACACAUCAAAGCCAGCGCUAAUGCCAGCUCUUGAUAUCUGUUCUAACAAAUGAAAUGUGAAAACACUUUCCUGACUGCCAUCUAAAGCAAAACUUUUGCAAAGCACUUUCAUUUGCUUGAGGAAGAGUUGACCUUUCAGUCUUUCAUAGUUAUGCCUGGCCUUAUGCAAAAUAAACAAUGUCCAUAGGAGAAUGAGACUAGACAUGUUAAUACAUUAUACCAACUACACACUAUGUAACCAGAUCUUGUCCUAGAU